GAGGGAAAGAGGGAGGAAAGGAGGAAUGAAGGAGGGAGGGAUGCGCACGGGAGGGACGGAGGGAGGGAGGGAGGGCUGCCGAAGAAAGGGGGCACGCAGGAGGACGAGAAGAAAGGGGGCGCGGGGGGCGACGCCGGGGGAGCGAGGCCGGGGGUUUCCUCCGGCCCUCGUGCUGCCCGUUGACCGCCAUGCCGUGGUGGCUCUGGAGGAGCACUGGUUGAGGCAGGGCUCGCCGUGGUGUGGUGUGGUGAAAGAAGUGGAGGGUUUGUGGGGCUGGCAGCGGCCAAGCCUGCUAGCGCCAUUUUGAUUUGGGAGAACAUUGGUGGUACUGCACACGUGUGGAUGACAAAGCUUUUGAUCGAUCUUCAAUUCAGGCCUCUGGAAUAAGGGAAAUAUGGAAAUACCAAGCCUUUUCAUUGAAGACAAAUAAAACAA